GCUGAGGCACAGUAACUUAAGCUGCAAUAAGUUGACAGCCCUGAUGCUUCUAAAAACAAGGUACUGCAAAGUGAGCAAGGAUUAUUAUCUCAAGCACUUAAAACAAUAUUUUGUGAUGGAAAACUAUAGCUCAUUUUACCAGAGCACAUCGUAUUGGCAGAGAAUGAAGAUGGUAUGGAUACUUUUUCAAACAAGAAGGCUUUGACAAUUCUACAUGAAAUGUUGGGAUUGGGAAGUGGGAAAGAAGAAACUAUAACUGAAGAACUUGUGAAGUACACAAAUCAAACAAUUAGUUUGACACACUUUUGCUGAAAGAUGCAGUAACUCAAUUCUUUCAAAUAAGACGCGCAUAAUCUGUAAUAAAUACGCUAUAUUGGGCCUUACUGCUACAGAUCAAGGACUACUACUUUCUCUCCAGCAGUUACAUGUGCUGUUGCAGUGUUAAGACCCCAUAUAGAGGAUGAACUUCACAAAUAUCCUACAAAUGCCUUGAUUAAUUGAAGGAAAAUUACUGCAGAGAUGAAACCAAGUAAGGACGCCAUUUCGGAAAACAGAAGCAUGAAACAAAAACGUCCAAAAUGCAACAAAAACUCCAGGAGAAGCUUCCAAAAUCUGAUUCAUAUAUGUGAGUACCUAAGAAUGGAACUGUAGGUAGGGAAUACCUCAAGGAUGCUUCACACCUGCAGACAUAUGAACGCACAUGUAAAAAAAACCUGCACCUCUGUGUUUGCUUUUGCUGAUGCUGCAGACACCUGGAAUGCACUUUCAAAACCCAGCCAGGAGUGGUCACUGCACACGCAUCUGUUAGUUGUAUGUGUCUUGCUCUUCUUAUGCUACCUUACUUUGCCCAGACAUACUGCAAAGAGACAACUUUGUUGCCAUUUUGUUGUACGUACGUUACCAAAGGGACCUCAACAGAGCACGUUCAAACAGAAGUCCCUUCAGAACUGGCACGCUGCUGUAUUUCUACAGACUACUGCCUACCUCGCCUAGCACAGCUGGUCACAGCCUCUGCAAACACCCAAGACGGUCUCUCUUCCUGACUCUUUAACGCUAAAAAUGACAAAUAUUCUAGACCGUCUAGACAGAUGACAGCGCCAAAAAGAAACGGCAUGUCACCGCUGUUUGCGGAGAGGCGACUCACUUCCACCAGCCCACCACUGACACUGAAACGCUACCAAAACCCCAGGCGUUUAUUUUCAGUUUCUUAUCUUCCGGGCAGGCAAAAAGUCAGUCAGUCAGUUCAGUUUCGCAUUCACCCAAAGCCGGGUCAGGCUCCCGGCUCCGAGCGGCGGCGGCUCCAGCUGCCCGCCCAGCCCUCCCCAAACUUUCCGCGAAUGCCAUAAACACCCCUUGGAUCCCGACCCCCGCAAGCUCUCCAGCCAAGGUACGUCCCCAGCCAGGAGAAGACAGCAAGGGCAGCUCCAUACGGAAAAAUAAAACCCAAGCGGACAUUCAUACACC